GUAUAAAUGACAUCGCAUUUAAGCCUGAUGGAACUCAACUGAUUUUGGCUGCCGGAAGCAGAUUACUGGUUUAUGACACCUCUGAUGGCACCUUACUUCAGCCCCUCAAGGGACACAAAGACACUGUGUACUGUGUGGCAUAUGCGAAGGAUGGCAAGCGCUUUGCUUCUGGAUCAGCUGACAAAAGCGUUAUUAUCUGGACAUCAAAACUGGAAGGCAUUCUGAAGUACACGCACAAUGAUGCUAUACAAUGUGUCUCCUACAAUCCUAUUACUCAUCAACUGGCAUCUUGUUCCUCCAGUGACUUUGGGUUGUGGUCUCCUGAACAGAAGUCUGUCUCCAAACACAAAUCAAGCAGCAAGAUCAUCUGUUGCAGCUGGACAAAUGAUGGUCAGUACCUGGCGCUGGGGAUGUUCAAUGGGAUCAUCAGCAUACGGAACAAAAAUGGCGAGGAGAAAGUAAAGAUCGAGCGGCCGGGGGGCUCCCUCUCGCCAAUAUGGUCCAUCUGCUGGAACCCUUCAAGAGAGGAACGUAAUGACAUCCUGGCUGUGGCUGACUGGGGACAGAAAGUUUCCUUCUACCAACUGAGUGGAAAACAGAUUGGAAAGGAUCGGGCACUGAACUUUGACCCCUGCUGCAUCAGCUACUUUACUAAAGGCGAGUACAUUUUGCUGGGGGGUUCAGACAAGCAAGUAUCUCUUUUCACCAAGGAUGGAGUGCGGCUUGGGACUGUUGGGGAGCAGAACUCCUGGGUGUGGACGUGUCAAGCGAAACCGGAUUCCAACUAUGUGGUGGUCGGCUGCCAGGACGGCACCAUUUCCUUCUACCAGCUUAUUUUCAGCACAGUCCAUGGGCUUUACAAGGACCGCUAUGCCUACAGGGAUAGCAUGACUGACGUCAUUGUGCAGCACCUGAUCACUGAGCAGAAAGUUCGGAUUAAAUGCAAAGAGCUUGUCAAGAAGAUUGCCAUCUACAGAAAUCGAUUGGCUAUCCAACUGCCAGAGAAAAUCCUCAUCUAUGAGUUGUAUUCAGAGGACUUAUCAGACAUGCAUUACCGGGUAAAGGAGAAGAUUAUCAAGAAGUUUGAGUGCAACCUCCUGGUGGUGUGUGCCAAUCACAUCAUCCUGUGCCAGGAGAAACGGCUGCAGUGCCUGUCCUUCAGCGGAGUGAAGGAGCGGGAGUGGCAGAUGGAGUCUCUCAUUCGUUACAUCAAGGUGAUCGGUGGCCCUCCUGGAAGAGAAGGCCUCUUAGUGGGGCUGAAGAAUGGACAGAUCCUGAAGAUCUUCGUGGACAAUCUCUUUGCUAUCGUCCUGCUGAAGCAGGCCACAGCUGUGCGCUGCUUGGACAUGAGUGCCUCCCGUAAGAAGCUGGCCGUGGUAGAUGAAAAUGACACUUGCCUGGUGUAUGACAUCGACACCAAGGAGCUGCUUUUUCAGGAACCAAACGCCAACAGUGUGGCCUGGAACACCCAGUGUGAGGACAUGCUCUGCUUCUCGGGAGGAGGCUACCUCAACAUCAAAGCCAGCACCUUCCCUGUGCACCGGCAGAAGCUGCAGGGCUUUGUGGUCGGCUACAAUGGCUCCAAGAUCUUCUGCCUCCAUGUCUUCUCCAUUUCUGCUGUGGAGGUGCCGCAGUCCGCUCCCAUGUACCAGUACCUGGAUAGGAAACUGUUCAAGGAAGCCUACCAGAUUGCUUGCUUGGGUGUCACAGACACUGAUUGGCGUGAACUGGCCAUGGAAGCGCUAGAAGGUUUAGAUUUUGAAACAGCAAAGAAGGCCUUCAUCAGAGUACAAGACCUCCGAUAUUUAGAGCUCAUCAGCAGCAUUGAGGAGAGGAAGAAGCGGGGAGAGACCAACAAUGACCUGUUUCUGGCAGAUGUGUUUUCCUACCAGGGGAAGUUCCAUGAGGCCGCCAAACUGUACAAGAGGAGUGGGCACGAGAACCUCGCGCUUGAAAUGUACACCGACCUCUGCAUGUUUGAGUAUGCCAAGGAUUUCCUUGGAUCUGGAGACCCCAAAGAAACAAAGAUGCUAAUCACCAAACAGGCUGACUGGGCCAGAAAUAUCAAGGAGCCCAAAGCCGCCGUGGAGAUGUACAUCUCAGCAGGAGAGCACGUCAAGGCCAUCGAGAUCUGUGGUGACCAUGGCUGGGUUGACAUGUUGAUCGACAUCGCCCGCAAGCUGGACAAGGCUGAGCGCGAGCCCCUGCUGCUGUGCGCUACCUACCUCAAGAAGCUGGACAGCCCUGGCUAUGCUGCUGAGACCUACCUGAAGAUGGGUGACCUCAAGUCCCUGGUGCAGCUGCACGUGGAGACCCAGCGCUGGGAUGAGGCCUUUGCUUUGGGUGAGAAGCAUCCUGAGUUUAAGGAUGACAUCUACGUGCCGUAUGCUCAGUGGCUAGCAGAGAACGAUCGCUUUGAGGAAGCCCAGAAAGCGUUCCACAAGGCUGGGCGACAGAGAGAAGCGGUCCAGGUGCUGGAGCAGCUCACAAACAAUGCCGUAGCAGAGAGCAGGUUUAAUGAUGCUGCCUAUUAUUACUGGAUGCUGUCCAUGCAAUGCCUCGAUAUAGCUCAAGAUCCUGCCCAGAAGGACACAAUGCUUGGCAAGUUCUACCACUUCCAGCGUUUGGCAGAGCUGUACCAUGGUUACCAUGCCAUCCAUCGCCACACGGAAGAUCCGUUCAGUGUCCAUCGUCCUGAAACUCUUUUCAACAUCUCCAGGUUCCUGCUGCACAGCCUUCCCAAGGACACCCCCUCGGGCAUCUCUAAAGUGAAAAUACUCUUCACCUUGGCCAAGCAGAGCAAGGCCCUCGGUGCCUACAGGCUGGCCCGGCACGCCUAUGACAAGCUGCGUGGCCUGUACAUCCCUGCCAGAUUCCAAAAGUCCAUUGAGCUGGGUACCCUGACCAUCCGCGCCAAGCCCUUCCACGACAGUGAGGUGAGGAUGCAGCACCCUUGGGCAGGUGGCUUCUCCUCCUCUCCCUUGAGGCCAUCUCAUGCCUUCUUGCCUGGCCUGGGUUCCGUUUGAAGAGAGACAGCUGCAGCUCCCUCUAGGCUCUGUGCCCCCUGCUCAAGCCUGGCCAUGCCAGCUCCCCUGUGCUUCCCUGUCCACCUCCUGUUCUCCCCGCAGUCCACCUGGCGCCCGCUCACAGCCCCCGGCCCCAGCCUCAGCCCUCAGCCUGGCCUCCCUUGCUCCUUGCCCUCCCCUAGGCAAGCCCCACACCUCUGUGCCCAGGUGGCUCUGCCUUUACCCCAGGCCUGGCCCCAGAGCUGACUCUUACUCUAGAAACCUCUGCCCUUUCUGGAACCAGGCUGUAGUUCUCCAGCAAAUCUACCCCACACUCCCAACCCACAUUCCUUCAACCCAGCCAGCUUCCUUCUUUCACACAUCCUCCCUCAAGCUCAGAGCAAGGACUUGCAUCAGACAGACCUGGGUUCACAUCCCGGCUCCACCCUCUCCUAGCUCUGUCUCCAUCUUUCUGCACCUUGGGUUCCCCCUUUCCCACAGGUAGUUGUGAGGCUAAAUGAGCCAGUAUAGUCCACGUGCUCCGCACGGUGCCCGGAGCAUGGUAAAUGGCUGGCUAAUGGUGGCAGCGGCCACUGUCAUUCCUGCCAGGGGAAAAGUGCCGUUGAGCGCUGCCUGUGCAGGUGUCUUGGGCACGGGGACCCAAGUGACAGGGCUUGGGUAUUUUGGCAGGCCUUUAUCCUGCUUCCCCAUGGCAUGGAGCUCCUGGGCCUGGCGCCCCUUCCCUGCCUGCCCACCCGGGUGGCUUUUCCUCUUGGCAGCCAGGCCCCAGGGGCCCGAAGCCAGAGUCCAGGGGGAGGAGGACACGUGCCUGCCCCGGCCCCUCGGGAGUCCGUGGCUGUUUUGUAGGAGUUGGUGCCCUUGUGCUACCGCUGCUCCACCAACAACCCGCUGCUCAACAACCUGGGCAACGUCUGCAUCAACUGCCGCCAGCCCUUCAUCUUCUCCGCGUCUUCCUACGACGUGCUACACCUGGUUGAGUUCUACCUGGAGGAAGGGAUCACUGAUGAAGAAGCCAUCUCCCUCAUCGACCUGGAGGUGCUGAGACCCAAGCGGGAUGACAGACAGCUAGAGAUUGCAAACAACAGCUCCCAGAUUCUGCGGCUAGUGGAGACCAAGGACUCCAUCGGAGAUGAGGACCCGUUCACAGCUAAGCUGAGCUUUGAGCAAGGUGGCUCAGAGUUCGUGCCAGUGGUGGUGAGCCGGCUGGUGCUGCGCUCCAUGAGCCGCCGGGAUGUCCUCAUUAAGCGAUGGCCCCCACCCCUGAGGUGGCAAUACUUCCGCUCGCUGCUGCCUGACGCCUCCAUUACCAUGUGCCCCUCCUGCUUCCAGAUGUUCCAUUCUGAGGACUAUGAGUUGCUGGUGCUUCAGCAUGGCUGCUGCCCCUACUGCCGCAGGUGCAAGGACGACCCUGGCCCAUGACCAGCAUCCUGGGGACGGCCUGCACCCUCUGCCCGCCUUGGGGUCUGCUGGGCUGUGAAGGAGAAUAAAGAGUUAAACUGUCAGAAUGUG
rnacentral:sRNA from 1 species